GAUGAACGCUGGCGGCGUGCCUAAUACAUGCAAGUCGAGCGAACAGACGAGGAGCUUGCUCCUCUGACGUUAGCGGCGGACGGGUGAGUAACACGUGGAUAACCUACCUAUAAGACUGGGAUAACUUCGGGAAACCGGAGCUACUACCGGAUAAUAUAUUUAACCUCAUGGUUCAAUAGUGAAAUACGGUUUUUCUUUCACUUAUAGAUGGAUCCGCGCCGCAUUAGCUAGUUGGUAAGGUAAGGGCUUACCAAGGCAACGAUGCGUAGCCGACCUGAGAGGGUGAUAGGCCACACCGGAACUGAGCCAAGGUCCAGACUACUACGGGAGGCAGCAGUAGGGAAUCUUACGCAAUGGGCGAAAGCCUGACGGAGCAACGCCGCGUGAGUGAUGAAGGUCUUCGGAUCGUAAAACUAUGUUAUUAGGGAAGAACAAAUGUGUAAGUAACUAUGCACGUCUUGACGGUACCUAAUCAGAAAGCCACGGCUAACUACGUG
rnacentral:rRNA from 1 species